UUUUGACACAGCACUUGCCCACCUUGCUGAUGAGCUUCACUUGCUGCUUACUACCAGCUGAUAACGAAAUCCCAAAUGCAUAUGGCAAGUCUACCUCCAGAUGCUAAGGGUCCAGGAGGAGCCCUGCACCAUCUCUCUCUCACCUCACCCAGCAGACUAUGAAAUCGUGAGGCUGUGGAAGUGUGUGUACAGUGGGAUCAGAUCUGGAGCGCAGCCAGCCACCAACACAAAAAUGAGAGGCAAUAUCUGAACCUAUACUUCACAAAAAUAUUUCUGGUCUUGCAAAACACAUGGAGGCACUUACUAUUUUAAAUCUCUGCCUACAGCAAGAGUGUAAGGUAAUCUCAUUCAUAUUUGUGGAACAAAUCCAGUUACAGAUCUUCCAUAACGAAGAAAGAAAGCUACAGGAAUUGCCGACUGUGUAUGUCAAACUGCUGCCAGACCCGUGUGUGGUAACGCAUUUAUCACAUUCAGAAAAGCAUUUCAAUAAACAACAACAGCAGCAGCAACAGGAGAUGGAUGUCCUAAGACAGAGAAUAGCACAUUCAGCAGGAAAAGAGGUUUCAUCUGGAGGUCAACUUAACAAGAGGUGUCAUGGGAACAAUAACUUGGAGUCUGUCUUUGAUCAAUCGCUUAUGUGGAGCUACUUCAUUUCCCUUUCAAAGAACAAUCUCCCUUGAGUCUGAGAGACCCCAUGUGUCACCUGAGGCAAACCCCUGCUAGGUCAAGGGACUGCCACCCUGGGGCAUACUCUCGAUCACAAGACUGGAGAGGUGCCUGCCUAAAAUGAACUGGGGUGGAUGGUAGAACCAGAGCAGCCACAGAAGCAUGGAUAUCCCAGAUGAGAAGAUGCCCGUGCCUGUCCCCGUUCAAGUGGUCUGAGGCAUUUCUGUUGUGUAGGAUGGUGUCAGACUCUAGAGGAUAAAAAUAUCUUUCGGACGAACAGAAAAGUAACCAAAAUGAAUACAUCAAAGAGCCCCAAAUGUGAGCAAAUUUCUACAAUUCUGGAUUUGAAGAGGAGUUGGGUAGCAGAAAUGGCAUGCAGGGGCAGAUUCUGGACCUGAAGCUGAUGGGCUCUGCCACAAGUAAUCACACAGAUACAGGUUUUUCUUCUGCACUGAUGAUGCUGGGGUUGUGCUGAUGCCUGCCUGCCUGCCUGCCUGCCUGCCUGCCUGCCAUUUUGGUGCUAUUUCUUGCAGUCUGUACAGCAAUGCUUUGGGUAUGACUGGCUCUCUUCGUAUCUGAACAGGAACAAAGCCAUAUAUUCCCUAGGCUCUGUUAAAAUUCAGAGACCAGCCUGUGAACUGGUUAGAGAGGAAGGAGCCAAAAGUCCUUUCAUCUACUCUUGCAUACUCCCCGAUGAGCUGAAAUAUGCAGUUUACUAUGCACCUGGAUGUUUAUUUUCAAGGAGAAAAACAAACUAAUACAUAUUUAUUUUUGUUCCCACAGUAUUAUUUUUUACUUUCAGGCUAUAUUUGCUGAACAAAAUAGUUGCAGGUUUCCUUUUAACCUAAUAAACUUUUGUACUGUUGCACCUCAUUAUAUAUUUUGUGGCAUUGGGUUUUGAAUCUGCUGCUUCAAUUACAGAAACUGCCAACAGACGUGAAAAUCCAGAAGACAGAGGCUGAAGCGUUCCUGCCUUUUAGCUUUGGAAUUACUUUUGCAUACUCUGACAGUUUUCCCUUAUAAACGAGGUUGGUGAUAGCUACAGCUAUGGAAUGCAAGAAAACUGAUGCAAACUUUGCCACCAGAAUUAAGAAGAGAACAUUUUUUUCAAACCAGAAGUUGGCACAAUUCCUGUUUUUCUGUCUUCACCUUCCUCUCUGCUCUCCCAGGUCUGUUACUUAUUAUCAGAAGUGGGGAAGAGGAAGUAUAUGCAAGGUCACAUAAGAGGAAAUACAAAUGUGUGUGUGUUUUGCCCUGAGGAGUUGCAGCUUCCUUUCUGAGAAGACAUAGUAGGAUUUUGUGUCGUUUCAGUUUAUUGUACUCAGAAAAGGAUAAGAGUUGAUGUAAAAGGUUUUACCCUUGGUGUAUGUAAGGCUAGGAAUUUUAGUCUUGGCCUUUAGCCUAAGUGAUUGAAAAUGCAUUUGUAUUAUUUGUUUAACUGACCAGAAAAUGCACCGAGUGGAUGAUGCAUUGGACUGUGUAGAGUGGGAAGAUAAAUUCGUUUUCAGAUUAAAAAAGAUGGAUUCGCUUAUGAGGAGAUCCUGAAGUUUAAAGAGAUGUUUUCUGUAUAUGUGGAUAGGUUAGGCUGAGGUAGGAUAAUCUCAACAGAGAAAAUUAAAACGGUGUGUAAAAGCUCUCCAAAAUCUUGGAGAGACUCACCAAUCACUGUGGUGGUACUGUGUUGGUGCAUUGGUUCCCAAAUACCCAGUUGCAUGUGUGUCAUGCAGAAGACUGGAGACUCGGAACUCAUCCAGAAAAACAGGACUGGAGGAGAUUAAAAGAGAGUUAGGAAGACAAAUGGUUUCUCAGAGCAUCAUUUCUCAUUUCCAGGUCUCUGACAGAGCAAUUGUCAAGAGUCUGGACUCCUAUUUUGUCACCCAGUGUGUUCAGAAUAACUUUUGUCUUGGGAAGUAAUAUUAGAAAUAUAAAGCCAAACACAUUCUGUUAAGUAAAAUUAUUUACUACUUUGACCUUUCAGUCCUUUGUGCCGUGGUUCACAAAGGUAUCCUCCAUUCUUUACAGCUUACCCAGGCUGUCUGUACGAGGAGGACAGUCCAUCAAAGCUACUCUUUUCCAGCAUCAGGAUCUGUUGGCACUUUUUUGGUGUUUUGACUGUUAGUGCCUCUUCUGCUUUUUUUUGUGGUGAUAAAGGAGCAGUGAAGCCUUUUCCAUUUGAAAAAGAACCUGCUGAGCUUAGGGCACACCCCUUAUUUGCCAUUACCAAGAGAAUGACCCUUGCAAGCCAGCUGCUCUAAUUGUGUGCUCGCAGCCCAGGCAAAAAAUGCUCUGAGAAUUUACGUUUUUUAAGAGUUGGUAUUGAUAAUGAGGCAUAUUAAAAAAUUCAAAUUAUCUUUUAUUAAUGAGUAAGGAUGGUGCCUAUAGAAGAAUCACAGGGAAGAUGAAACAGUGAAGGGCAUGGAUAGUUUAUGAUGGAGCUACAAGGAUCUACAUGCUAUGAGUGUCAAGGUCUGAACCCAGGAUUUUAGUCCUAAUUCACUAACCUUUCACCCUGGUAGCUCAGUUUCCUUAGAUAAUGAGGCCACUGGAUGGAGAGGAAGAAGUCUGCCACAUGUGGUUUAAGUUAGUGUGGUUGAGUCUGCACUGGAAUAGAUAUGGCUGCCUCCAGACUAUGUUAAGAAAUGGCAGGUGCCCUGGUAAUGGCUCACUGAGGUUUCUGUUUGACUGUGCACUAGUGCAGAUGCACAAGUGUUAUAGUUGGAAACAACUACAUUAUACACUUCACUCAUAAGAGAGAAACAGAAAUGUAUUUACUGAUUCAAUAUAGAUAUAAUGUAGUGAUUUGACAGUGACUUAACAAGAUUUGAGAUGGCUGUAUGCACUUGAUUAUUUACUGCAUAGAUGUUAGGGUUAAAAACACGCAUACAGGAGACCCUCCCGUUGAGUCACAGUGUUCAAAGUGGAACCCCUUGCUUUCUAAAAUCCUUGAACCAAAGAGGGAAGGAGCUUAAGUGCAGCUGGAUCCACUCUUAGUCCCAGGCUUGGUCAAUAGUUUAUGCCUAAGGGACUGUAUGUGCACAAUCAAUCUAAAAUGUGAUUUUGGCAAAGCUAACAAAGCUUACACAGUGAACCUAAGAUAUAAUCUUAAUGAAGCUAGCUAGACUUAAAAGAAACUAUUAGUCACACACCCAGGAUCUGCAUUGGCAAGGCGUCUUGUUAUCAAGGUGUAAGGGAUCUCUGCAUGACCUCGAGAGGCAUCCCUACGUGAUGUGACUCUAUCUUGCAGCCCCACCGUUGUGCAGGAGAGCUCAAGGAGCUCUUGGACUGCUCAUUAUUUAUGGAGUAAGAUAAAUGUAUUCACAGUCAUACUUUGUUUUUAGGGGUCUUAGCUGUUGAACCAGGUGUCUGCUAUCAGUUCUUUCAUUCUCCCAGUGUGAGACUUGUGGUUGUUAAUCUGUGAGAGUGCUAUCAGUACUGUUGCUCACUGUCUUCCUGUGCAAGACUGGGCUGGAGGAGGAAGUUGGGAGAAAAAAGUCAAGGAGUGAACAUCAUCACAAUGAGUCUGGCUUAGAGCUGGUUGGUCAAUUCCUCCUGAAAUGAGCAACGCUGAAAUAGCCUGAGGGGCAAGCAGGACAAUAAAAUAGCCCUGAGAUAAGCUAUUUGUUUGCUUGAUAGAGGUUUAAUAAGCUAUCUGCAGUCACGAUGGAUGCUGAAAUCAAAGAAUGAAUGAGACUUUGUUCACGGGGAUUCGUUCUUUGCCUUGGGAGGUGGCAUUGAAAAGUAUGGAAAAAUAAGAGAAAUUUCUGAAUAGCUCUCCUUCGGCUCAGAAUUUAUAGAGUGUACUUAAAGUGAGAGAAAAGGUGAGAAAUGAAAAAGGAAAAUGAAAGUAAAGGAGCAACAAAUGGCGAAAUACCCCAGGCAUACCAG
ensembl:lncRNA